ensembl:lncRNA
GUUUUUCCUAAACCAAAGAUCUCUAAAGGGAAACUCUGUGAAGGUUUGUAGUUUUACAGCACAGAGAGACGCUGUGUUUAAUCGUCUGCAGUCAGUAAAGAGUCGUGAAGUGAGCUGUGAUUAUUCACUGAUCUCUGACCCGACUGCUCGCUCUCUAAUGAGUGAUAAAUACAACAUGAUGCAUGUCUUUACAACAACAAUAACAACAACGACUCAGACAUCCACUCCUGAAGAGAAACCCAGUGCAGGAACAACAGCAACAACAACAACAGCAACAACAACAAUAACAACAACAACAAUAAAGAGUGAUAAAUACAACAUGACACGUUUCUUUCCUACACCAACACAGCCGUCCAUCACUACUGAGAAAUCCACUGCAU